UAGGGAAUCUUCCGCAAUGGGCGAAAGCCUGACGGAGCAACGCCGCGUGAGUGAUGAAGGUCUUCGGAUCGUACAACUCUGUUAUUAGGGAAGAACAAAUGUGUAAGUAACUAUGCACGUCUUGACGGUACCUAAUCAGAAAGCCACGGCUAACUACGUGCCAGCAGCCGCGGUAAUACGUAGGUGGCAAGCGUUAUCCGGAAUUAUUGGGCGUAAAGCGCGCGUAGGCGGUUUUUUAAGUCUGAUGUGAAAGCCCACGGCUCAACCGUGGAGGGUCAUUGGAAACGGGAAAACUUGAGUGCAGAAGAGGAAAGUGGAAUUCCAUGUGUAGCGGUGAAAUGCGCAGAGAUAUGGAGGAACACCAGUGGCGAAGGCGACUUUCUGGUCUGUAACUGACGCUGAUGUGCGAAAGCGAGGGGAUCAAACAGG
rnacentral:rRNA from 1 species